GAGAAAGACAUUUGACCAUGCUAGCCCAAUUAAAGAAAGAUACAUGUGGGCUUUUCCUCUAUUCUUCCAAUGAGGUGUGGACAUGUGUUUAAAAAGAGAAAACACCACAUGAAAUGAAGGUGGGGCUGGCUGCGCAAGAAAGGAACGGAGACAGGAACAGGAGCGGCAGCAGGGGAAUAGAGAAAGAAAGGAAGGGAGCACUACAUGGAUAGAAGAAGAGGAAUGCCUACGAGAUAAAAUGACAUUGUUUUAUUGGGAAGAAGCUUCAUGGGAUAAAGUUAGGAAUAUCAAAACUAUAUAUCUUGAGAGGCUUUGAGUUAGUAUCGGGCUUGAAGAUCAAUUUUAUUAAAAGCAAGAUGUACGGUAUUAACGUGGAUGACAACUUUAUCGCUGCGGCUGCAAGCUUCCUAUCUUGUAGUUUUGAUUCCAUUCCUUUCAAAUUUUUGGGUAUUCCGGUAGGUGCAAACCCGAGGAGACAAGAAUCUUGGCAACCGAUUGUAGAGUCAAUGAUAAAGAGACUAUCUAGCUGGAGUGGUCGUAAUCUCUCGAUUGGAGGUAGAGUCACUUUAAUUAACUCUGUGUUAUCGAGACUUCCGUUAUAUUUUUUCCCUUUUUAUAAGGCUCCUCGUUGUAUUAUUAAUAAAUUGGUGAGGAUCCAAAGGAACUUUCUUUGGGGGGAGGCUUGGAAGAUAAAAAACUUUGCUAGAUUAAGUGGGAACAAGUACGUUUACCUAAGGACAAGGGUGACUUAGGUGUUAAAGAUUUGGAGUUGUUAAACACGACAUUGUUGUGUAAAUGAAAAUGGCGAUGCUUAAAUGAGAAUGAUGCUUUCUGGUAUGAUCUUCUUUGUUACAGGUAUGGGCCGCUGUCCUCUAAAUUUCUAAGUUGGGAAGCGGUAGCAACCAACACUAAGGACUCGCUGUGGUGGAGAGACGUGGUGGGAGUCGGUGGGAAGGAUGGUGAUUGUUGGUUUCCUUUAAAUCUUAGUAGCAUAUUGGGUAAUGGUGACUCUAUAUGCUUUUGGAAAGAGAAAUGGUUUGGUGCUGCUCCUUUAAGGGAUUUAUUUCCUCACUUAUAUGAUAAGGAUCUUCAUAAAGACUGCAUGGUUUCAGACUUAAUUCAUGCCGACACUUCAGUGUUGCAUUGGAACUCAGACUGGGUAGACACUUUAUCGCAAGAGGAAGCUGCUGAAAUGGCUGAUUUGGAGCAGCUCUUGACUGGUCUGGAUCGGCACGUGGAUAGGGAAGAUAGAUGACGUUGGGCGUUGAAUGAUUCAGGCCUUUUUAGUGUCAAAUCUGUCUAUAUUUUUUGCAACCGUGGUUGGAUUCACUUAGUUUAGAAUCAGAUUUACUUCAUGCUUUGCACAAAUUGUGGAAGAAUGGUGUUCCAUCAAAAGUGGGAGUCUUUGGUUGGCGUUUGCUUCUUGAGAUGAUCCCUACUCACGCCGCUUUAGCAUCUAAAGGUACUAUUUUAUUGCUCUAGUGGGAUUGUCAUCGUGUACUUGCUUUGGCUUGGAGGAUGAUGUUUUCACUUGGUUGAUUUGGUACUGGUGGCAUGAAGUUAAUUUGGGUGCAUUUGAUUGUUAGCAGGUUAUAGCACUGUCAAAAUAGUGUUUUUUUUU